UACGUAGGGGGCAAGCGUUGUCCGGAAUCAUUGGGCGUAAAGAGCGUGUAGGCGGCCAGAUAAGUCCGCUGUGAAAUCUCGAGGCUCAACUUCGAGCUGUCGGUGGAAACUGUCUGGCUAGAGUCCGGAAGAGGAGAAUGGAAUUCCCGGUGUAGCGGUGAAAUGCGCAGAUAUCGGGAAGAACACCCGUGGCGAAGGCGGCUCUCUGGGACGGUACUGACGCUGAGACGCGAAAGCGUGGGGAGCGAACAGG
rnacentral:rRNA from 1 species